ensembl:lncRNA
AACAGAUGUUACUGUGUGAAUGCAUGUACAAAAAGUGAACUCUCUCCUAUAUGAAUUUCACUUUUUUGGGAGGAGUCAAACUUGAUUCUCAAGCAAUGAAAUCUCUAGAGAGGUAACAUAGUGGCUGUCCUGUGUUAGGCUUUUCCAACCCUUUAAUUAUAUUCUUGCAGAAUAGAUACCUGGAGACAGUGGAAAAUACUUCUGUUCUAAAGCUAGAACUUGCACCUAGGUCUGUAAUUUAUUACUCCUGGUUGAAAUGUUGUUCUUUAACGUGUGUGGCCAUUUCUUUCUCCCCUCUCUGCAAUAGCUUUUCCCCAGUGCAAGUUCAUGACAAGGAGGACGUAUGAGCAAAUAGGAGGGAUAUCCUUCAGCUUAGUAUGAGGUGGUACUUUGCUUUUGCGCAGAUCUGUUUAGAAGAACUUAAGGAUCCUGGUAAAUGAAAAACUUAACAUGAGCCAGUGGUGUGUACUGUCAGCCCAGGCCAACAACAUUCUGGGCUGCAUCUGAAGGGGGGUGGCCAGCAAGGACAGGGAAGUUAUUGUCUCCCUCUGCUCUGCCCUUGUGAAGCCCCGUCUGGAGUACCACAUCCAGGUCUGGGACCCCAGCUCAGGAAAGCAGCUUGCUGUAUUCCAUCUUCCAUUAGUAAGUUUGGUUGGCUUUUCUACAACUGUGACUUAAAAAUGAUUCUGACUAGGUACAUCUCAGCCUCCAGACUGACUUUUUAACAGACUUUGGUAUACUGAGAAAAGCUGCUGUUGGCUUAUUGAAGUUAUUCUUCACUUCAGUUGUUGUGGGACUGAGAAAGGGUGUCCUGGAAGGGUAAUUCAAAAUAGUUUCUGGUCUCAGUUGUUUGUUUCACUGAGGUGAAGUUAGCUUUCAUAAAUACCAUUCUUUUUUCUACUUCAGUAUUUAGAGGAGGCAUGUCAAGCUCAGCAAUGCUUUUAUCUGAACAUAAAUAGUUACCAUGUUAAUCCCCAAAUUUCCGUUGCAAGCCCUUCUUACAUCCCUGGUUGAAUGAAAAUUAAUAUUGCACUCAAGUUACCAGUGCAGUACUGUGCAGGUAUUCACUUCUGUUCAAGAAGGCAUGUAGCUGGGAUGAUGAACCAGUUAAUUUGUUGUACUUCCUAUCUUUGCUUGGCAGUGAUUGCUUCAGUAGUAUGUAUCAUGAAACAGUACAAAUAUCUCUUUGAUUUCUGUCUUGUACCACCUAUUAAAUUCAAUUGAUGU